CGUAUUUUAUAAACUGCUAUAACAUAGCGUACCUUUUGCAUAAUGGGUCAGCAACCUAAUAAACGUAAGAGAAGUUUUACAACUUAAUGUUUUUUUCCUAAAAUAUGUAA
rnacentral:rRNA from 1 species